ensembl:antisense 2010007H06Rik RIKEN cDNA 2010007H06 gene
UGGCCACAAGGCUUGCCUGUCCAGUCUGCAUCCUCCCUCCUGCUAGGUCACAGACACUGGGCUUCCAGCAAGCAGUCCUUAAACAUCAGCGCUCUUUGCUCUUUGGAGCUGUAGACCAGCACAGCUUCCUUGACCCACCUGAGAUUCCUUUAGGCCAGGUUUCCACUGCUGCAUUGUGGCAAUCCCUAUUCCUAUGUUUUGGCUUGUUUUUAAUUCCUCGAACCCCAGACUUUUUACCUCAUAGAACUCCUGCUUCCUUUAGAGGAAGGGCAUGGUUUUUUCUUUCUUUCUUUCUUUUGAAGGCUCUGAGGAGAGAGGUAGGAGGAAUUUGGAACCAACCUGUCUUCUUGGAUCCCUCAUGAAUAUGAGUAACUCCGACCCAUGCUGAUGUGUAUUUUGGAAGCUCUGCCUGAGUUGCUCUCUGUCCUGUGAUUUGAAGGAUGAAGAGACUGGAGUGAUAUGGAAUGUCAGGUCAAGAUGUCACAGGGGGACAGAAGGGUCCCCUUUGCAAAUAACUAGGAGGUUUCCAGGAAUGCAGAUAAAGUGAUGGUAUAGGCCUCUCUCUUUUAAUCCCCGAGUUGUCUGAAGUGCAAACAAAACAAAAAAUAAACCUACCAAACAAAAGC